CGAGUUCGUCUUUUAUCCCAGUUUUUCCUUUCAUUAAUGUAUCUUUGAGUUUCCCGCGUGCCCGGCGUGGCAUGCAUGGCCGCCACGCCGAUACAACAGUUUUGCAUCAGUGCUUUGUGACAUCGGCUGUAUUGCGUUUUUUCGCCGACGGCUUACUACCACAAUGGGGGGAUCUGCGUUCGCCACCUUCCGUUCUCGACGCGCCUUUGUUGUCGCACGUUGGAUAGCACUUUUUCCGGUAAGUGAAAUACUCGUCUUUCGUCAACAAUGUCCGAAUUUUUUUAGGUGGUAAUAUUGAUGGUUGGGCUCUACUGCCUUGUUGGUUUUUGUCAGCUUUAUUUUUAUACGCGGGUUCGGCUUAUUUAUAGUCUUUGUGGUUAACGUAGCAUGAAACAACCGAAGGGAGUGCAUUCAGCGAGGACACUGCUCACAAUCAUGAGCCAGACUGUACUCGCCCUAUUUUGUGUCCUUUUGUUCUUGCAUGGGUACGUUACACUGUAGCAUUACGCACGCGCAUGUGUCACUAUACAGUUUGUAAGUAUACCGCAUGCACGCGAUCUCGCGCGCGACAGCGACAUGCGACGCGAUGGAAAUGGCUGUCGCGUUCGCUCGUCGCCUACAAGUCCUACCGCAUGCGAGCGACGAGACGAGCGACGCCUUUGAGCGACGUCUCCCCGGUGUUGCCGGUAUGAGGGCAGUAAGUACUCGCCGAAACUGGCGUGACGCGUGCUUUAUUAAUUUAAGUUCAUGUGUUUUAGCGUAAAUAGCAGCAUAGAUAUUAUUCUUGCACUUAUCAAAAUCUAGUCGUUUGCUCGUUCCGUGCGACAAUCGGUAGUACUUGACUGAUGUAUAUCCAGUUCCGGCUUGGCGCUAUUGGCUAGUCACUCAUAGCACUUCCGGGCGACGAGCGACGAAUUCUAGAUUUCCAGAACCGAGCGAUCGCGCGACACGAACGAGCGAUCUGUUCGAGCGACGAAACGGGCCGUCGCGCACAAAAUCGCUCUCACGCGGUUUGGGCUGUAGCGUUCCCACCGCAUUGCUUACUUGUUCUAUGCAUUGUCAAAUGCAAUCGGUGGCUAAUGCAAAAUUGCAGUUUUUUUUUUUUUUUUUUAAUGACUAAGCUGCAAAACUUGUACCCUAGUACAUGUUUCAUCUGUGAGUGCAAUCAGGACUACUUGUUUAAUGAAUAACUGUGGUUCACCUCAUUUGUAAUUGCAUAGCUGGCUUUCAACUGACCUGAUGCUCUCUUAUUUUGUUCUUUCUGACUGUUUAGACAGCGGGGCAUCUUGGUGUCUUGGCGCCAGCUGGAUGGGCGGGACCUCGUCAUUAUGAUCAGUGAUGUAUGCUUUGCUGGUUGGAUUGAUCAAACAUGGGCCAAGGUUUCCAUUCAGGAACGCACUUCAAUUUGGCUGUACCACUGUCGGUGCUUGGCUGGCGCCUGCCGAAUGAAUCAUCGCAGAUUUUGCUUGCCUGUGUCUACAAGAACCUUCACGCUUGACCAGCGACAAAAAGCAUUUGUGGGCAGCCAGUGCUCUCCUACAAAGACUCGCAUGCUCUGGCUGCCACAGCGAUCAUCUUGAAGAUCUAUGCAUGGCCACCUUUGCUGCUAUUUGUCACUCUUAAUUACACUUUCUGCAUCUUUUCUCAUUUGUUAGGUAAUACAGUGACUGUGACUUCGUGUGAAGUAGAUAUCUUGCAGCAUUUUGGCUUGCAGUCAUAUUCUGUGCACUUCAUGAAAAGCUCAUCGUACAGUGUGUGUAAAAAAAAAAACACAAUAUUCUAAUUUAUCCUUCAGUUCUGGUAACAUGCAAGGGUUUCACUAAUGGAGGGUAUGCCAAAGAACUGGCCAUUAUUUCUGUGUGAUGCUCCGCAAGCAUAUGGCAAUACUUAACAAGGGACACCCACAAAGUAAGUUACAAUUUACUUUUAAAUGAGGCACUGACAUCAGGAAAUACUUGUAUUGCCGGAUAGAGUAGUGUGCAGGGUGCUUUUCCAGAUGUGAAUCAUUCUUUAUUUUUAAGAAUUCAUUGUAGCACAGCAUUCUGUUUCAUAUACUUGUGUAAUGCUAUUCUGCCGGCUGUAACUGAUAACAGGAUGGCGUCUGCCUGAACCGCAGCAUCACCGACAAAAAUGUUUCCCUGCGAGAAACUAUUUCAGUUCACAGGAGACCCAGCAGGGCAAAGUUUUGUCGACAGUGAGGUGUUUCAUGCAGAGGUGACAUUGGCAUACAAUACAGAUCUUGUUUUAUAUACAAAGUAAUUGUGACCGGUGGCAUUCAAUUGAUUGGUCUAAGCAAAAUGCACUAGUUGACCAAUCGGGCUGUGCUACGAUUCACAUCUGGAAAAACAACCUGUGCAUCACUCUACCCAACAAUAUAAAUGUGUUUUUCUGGUGUCCACGCCUCAUUUCAAAUAAAUUAACUGUGGAAAAACCUCGUGUUACUCUAGCCACUGCCACGAAAAUUUAAGCGAAUGUCUAAUACAAGUCUUCAGUUCUUGUCAAGAUGUUCGUUAGCCAACUUUCAGUGUAAAGCUAGCGGGGCUUACUGAAGUACUUUUCGUCGUCGACGGCUACGAAAUGCCUUGAAGACAGCUACUAGACUUUUGAAUUAUCCGUUCAAGACAUCAAAUAGCUGCUUCCGUGUUUCGUGGGAUUAAGCAGAUGCCAUAGCACUUGAGCGGACUACCUACUGACCACUGUUUACAUGCUCAAGUGAUGUUUGUGGUUUGUCACAAAUGUAGGGAAGAGCUCAACAUCGGUGUGUUUUUAAUUGCUUAUUCUGUGCAAGUGUAACAUUAAGCUAGCAUAUUAAACUUCAGUCUUCUUAUGGUACAACCAGUUCAAGGUGCCUCCUGGUUUGGAAUAAAGUGAAAAAUCCUUGGCUUUUGCAACAGUUCAAGGGGCUCCACCACAUGUUCUACGAGAUCCAAACAAGACAGGAAGAUGGAGGCUUAAAGAGGCCCUGAAUCACCCCUUCGGCUUGGUGAAAUAGCAUAGUCCGCGGGUAGCAUACACUGUUGUGAAUAUCUCGGCCAAAUUUCGCUGUCGUACGCGGCGUGUGGAGCUUGAAAGCGGAGCGCAGUCACCUUUCUUUGAAACGCUCUAGUUUCAAAAGACGUCGUGAGCCUCGCUCUUUUCUGUGUGCUUUAUUUCGUAAUUAAGCACACUCUAAUACACGGCUGCAAUUGGUCGCUGCGGUCGGCUACACCACGGCCGCCGCGAGGUGCUGCCACGAGUCUACUGGCUAAGUGCAUUGUGGGUUACAGAGGACAACUGCGUUUGGCUCACGUUUAGCGCGUCGUACACACCAAAAUUGGAAGUCCAGAAUAAAAUUUUAACUGCGCGCCACAAUGACAUUUCGAAGGCGGAGCAUUGUGACCACGCCCCAUCUCCCGUAGCCUUCGCAGUGCAAGGCAUUGAAGAAGGGAGGGGAGCGCAGCGGAGGCCAUGUUUGAUUGCCAAUAACUCCGCUUCUGCUGAACUCAUUGAAAUACUUUUUGCGGCAAAGCAUUUCUGAAAUAACCUAUUUUCACUUCAAAUGUCUUUCUCAACUUCGAUGAAAAGUGGUUCAGGGCCCCUUUAAAGUGAAUAACAGUUAUAGAUAUACAUACAGUUACAUUUACUGGGCCCUCUUUAGACAACAUGGGGUGAACAUUGUAAGCCAUGUCAAAAGCAGAAUUGCGAAUGGUGUGACACAGGAUGGAGAAAAGAGGCACAGGACGGAGCACUCUGCCCUUUGCCUCUUUCCUUCGUUUCGUCUCGUGCUGUUCAAAAUUCUAUGUGACAAGAUGUACCAGGCAGCCCAAUGAACAUGCUGCUAUUGUAAGCCAUUCUUUAAUUUCUAAAGUAUAGCUGUUCCAAGUAAGCAGAGCGACUAAUUAAUGCUUGUACUAGGCCUAAGUUUUCUAAAAGUUAACUCGGACUAUUGAAGCUUGGCCCAAAGGCAUACAAAAGUGGUGAACCUUUUAAAUUUUGAAGCAUUGGGUAGACUUUAAUAUUUACUUUCAAAGUGUGAUCUCAAGUGUUUGCAAGUUCAUCAAAGUAUCUCGUUGCAUUUUGUAUGCAAUAAGAUACUUCAAAAAUGCAUUUGUGGAGCAUAUACAGGGUCUGUCCUGAAAGUAAUGUCAGUUAAUUUAUUGUGACGAGACUCUACGUCGGAGUGCGGUCUAACCAGUUGAAACUGGUAGUGGGGGAACCCAGCUAAGGAGCACUCCGUUGCUCUGUGUGCUCUGUGCAUUAGCGAGUGUAGGACGGCCCUGUCCGGCAGAGUUGUUUUUUAUUGUGCAAGUGAAAAUGCAGCGCUCAUUAGAAUAAAGAUUUGCGAUCAAGUUUUGCAUGAAACUUGGCAAGACCACUGCGGAAACUGUUACUCUGAUCAAGACUGCUUACAAAGAACAUGCCCUGUCAGAUCGGCAAGUGUUUCGGUGGCACAAGGCCUUUGUGGAAGGCGGGGAAGAGGUCAAAGACGAGGACCUGCGCCGGACCACGGCUGACAAUGUGACACGAGUGAGGGAACUGUUGAACUCGGACCAACGAUUUGAUGAAAUCGUUACAAACAAUAUCGGCAUGCAGAAGGUGUGCGAAAAUGGUUCCAAAAGUGCUCACUGACGACUAAAAGUUGCGCCACGUUGAAACGUGCCAAGAAAACCUCGACAUUUGCAAACGUGAUUGAAAAUUUUGGACAACGCUAUUACAGGUGAUGAGACUUGGGUACUAUUUGAAUAUGACCCGGAGUCCAAAAGGCAAUCAUCGGAGUGGCACACCCACUUGGCCCCUCGCCAGAAGAAAGCCAGGAUGGGCAAAUUAAAGAUCAAGAUCAUGCUCAUCGUUUUUUUUUUUUUUUUUUUACAUCCAUGGACUUGUUCAUCAGAAGUUUGUAGAACCUGGAACCCCUGUGAACUCCAAAUUUUAUGUGGAAGUCCUCAAAAGACUGAAACGCAGGGUUCAACGCAUCCGGCCGGUCAUCGCAGACAACUGGAAGUUGCACCACGAUAAUGCGCCGGCCUACAGUACCUUCAUCAUCACUGACUACCUGGUUAAAGCAGGGGUGCCAACUAUCCCCCAGCCCCCAUACAGCCCGGACUUGAUUCCCCUUGACUUUUUUCUGUUUCCACACCUCAAAACACCCCUGAAAGGCAAGCACUUUGGGACAGUGGACGGGAUCAAAGCAGCUUGCACCGCAGCAUUAAAGGCCAUUCCGGAGGAGGACUACCGCAACGCAUUCGAGAGCUGGAAGUCUCGCUGGAGCCCAUGUAUCGACGCAAAAGGGGAGUAUUUUGCAGAAUUUUAAACACUUGUAAUGAUAAAUUCAAUAAAUGAUUUUUAAUGGCCUUACUGACAUUACUUUCAGGACAGACCCUGUAUAACAGUAGGAGCACACAAAAGUACAUCAGAAAUAAUAUAACAUAAAUAUAAGUUUUGAACUUUGAUGUAAACUGUUCAGAUUUACACACUGGCAUACAUGUGCCUAAACAUGUGUUGCAUGAACAUCAACUAGUGCGGAACUCUGGGAUACGAUACAACCACUGCUGAGGACAUCGAUGCAGGGGAGGAUCCAGGGAGUUCGGAGCCAUAAAAAGGGGGAAGGGAGGGCUUGCUGCACACUCAAUAAGUGUCGGUCGGCAUGUCUUGGCCGGGGAGGGGAGCCCCCAGGGUCUCCCCCCCCCCACUAGAUCCACCAGUGCAUCGAUGUCAGAUGGCCAAGCUGUUGACAGCCUGACUGAAGCUUGUCGAUGGUGUCGAAAUGGUGAUUUGAGCAAUAUUCAGGUGCGAGUCAAGUGACAGGGACAUCAAAUGAAGUAAGGCCAAACAGAGGGAUGUAUUAUUUGCAAAGUAUAAAAUACAGAUGAGUGUGAGUACAUGAAAGUGUAUGAUUUUACAACUACAGAUUUGUAGAAUAUACCUCAAUCUGAAUAAUGUUCACCCGUGGGGCGUCACUUCAUCACGCGCAAGUUGUUUCCAGCACUUCCGCCUUUUAUAUUCAACAUAUCGUGGAGUGGAGUUGAUAUUUAAAAAGUUAAAGAACCUGAAUAGUUGCACCUGGCCAACACAGCUUGCCUUUGAGAGCAACCCGUCAAGCCUUUUGACUACAAACCCCGUGCUGGCCUGACAACAAAGCAAGUCCUGCCAUGGAUACUGGGUACAAGCACGUAGCAUGCGGGAAAGAAUGCUGUUGGAUCUGCAAUGGACACCCCAUUUAACAUUGCUGAGCAAAACAGCGUUGCUAUAUGGCAAUUUCUGCACAGUAUGGCUUUUCACACCCAUCCUCUGGUAGAGUAAUUGCAUGUCAAGUAAUCUGUAGGCUUACAUGUAAUGAAGCAACUCGUAAUUGGUAGACGAUACAGGGUAAUUUAUAGUUUUGAUGUGUGUGAUAGCUUGCAACAAGCCCUGUUGCGUUUUUGUCUUCGGUCAAAGCAAUCGCUUAUCUAGGUUAUCGAUCUGUACCAAGUUUAUGUUGGUCUCACAUGUUCCUUAAGGUAUAUUUGACACACUUCUGAAGAGUUUUCCUUCGCUAUGUCCUGAACAUGUUGCCCCAAGCAAACAGAAGUGCAUGCAAUCUUACGAUUGCAAACAAACCGCCACGGCACAACAGCAUCGCAACAAAUGUACUCGGCAAUGACAGAUGCAUGACUGGAAGAUAGGAACUGAUGUCAAGUGCAAUCUAGUACAAUGAUUGUCAAAAAAUUGUCAUUUUUGCACACUAAAUAGGUGUGUUGGCUAUGAUAUUCAGUGCUGUUGACUGCCAGUCCAUAAGAUAACAAAUUUGGAUGCUUAAGCGUUACCAUGUUUACUCACAUGAUGCUUGCACCACUGCAUGGCCAACAAAUUUUUUUUUGCUCAAGUAAUCGUGCCACCCUCGAAAAUUGCUGCAGCGACAGUUAUCUGCUUGUGUCAAUAUCAGUGGUGACACCGACUGAAUACGUCAGGUCAGAGUCGCUAUACUUAUUCAUUUAGUGACGCUAGGUUCAGCUAGCAUACGCAAAUAAAGGGCCUUUGCAGUUAUUGAUUGUGUUGAACCUGUGCUCUUAUUGCAUAGGUAAGUACGGUUUGAAAGUAUUAGUUCCGAGUUUACAAUGGCUGGUGUAAAAACCUUGAUUUACAGCCACUUUAUUUUUGCUUUUUCUAUUUAGCACCUUUAACCUUCUAUUGGAAAAAUUUCCGUGAUAUAUCGCACCCCUGCACUUUGCAUCAAUUUCCAGCGGAAAAAAUUGCGAUCAUUAUGCAAGUAAAUAUUAAGCUCUUAAAGGAGUACUGACAGAAAAAUUUUCGGACUUAUUUUUUAUGCUGUAAUAAGUAGCUAAUGACCUAGUAAUCACGGCGCAAAACCUCAUUUGCUUCAGAGCGCGACAGGUAAUUAUUUGGAGUCUUUUUUGCAGCGACCAGUCCAAGUUUCUGAGAGCAACGAGAUGGGAGAAGAGGGAUUGUAAACACGGUGAGCACGUGAUCGCACAAAACUGUGACGUGUUCAAGCCAGCGCGCUCGCAUGCGAGCGAGCUUCGCGUUGCUAGUUCAUCUGCUACGCCUGCACGAGCUUUGCGAUGUCGUCGCCGUCCUCGUUUUCGUCGUCCAGCGGCGACUAUUUCCUCCAGGCGGGAGUCACCACCGUAUUAAACGUGGUGAACCACUUUUGAUUCGAUCCACCAUAGGCGAGCUGGCGAUCGCUAGGAAACGGUAUAGGCCUAGCUCUCUGGUCGUCUGAUCCGGGGCCGACGGCCCUUGCGAUCCGUCUGCAGCUCGUAAUAAAGCACAUAUAUUCGUCAACACAAUCAACGUCUGCACAUUUAUGAUGCUCAUAACUGACAGUACAAUUAGUUUUGCCGACGGCAUUGGUAGCGAUGAGAAAACGCAUUAGCAAGGCGAGCCGCUUCGUAGAGAUGAUUGCUGCGGCCGCUGCGCUGACCGCUUGCGAGCCAAAAUCACGCCAACAAUUAACCAUGUGACGCACCGUUUCAUAACAUGCACACUUUCGAGGUUUCUUGACUCAAAGAGUUAUAUCGUGUUGGAAACAGUUAAGCCGAUUUUUGUGCCGCCGUCAGCGGCGAACGAGGCCAGCGUCUCGACCAGUUAGUGAGAGAAAAAAACAAAGCACCGGGACAAUCGGAGCGGCCCCGCCCCAACGGCAGCACAAACUCGUGACAUAGCGUUUUUUCGGUUAUUUACAAUCCUUCCUUGAUGUCAGUGUCGCGAGGUGCUGCGCUUUGCUGGUGGUUGCACGCACAUGCUUUUAAAAUUGAUUUUAAAUAUGUUCUAAGCUAUAUUCGCCGCUGAUAUUUUGUAGACGAUGUGUGUGUGUCCACCUAAAUCGAUCUCAUGAGUUAUCUCGACUUCAAAUUUUUGUGUCAGUACUAUAAAAAAAUAUUUUUUUCUUCACUUCUGCAGGACAGCUUAAAAAACCCCCAAAAUUGCUCUU